rnacentral:rRNA from 1 species
AUUGAACGCUGGCGGCAGGCCUAACACAUGCAAUUCGAGCGAGCGACGGACGGGUGAGUAAUGUAUUGGGCCUACCCGAUAGAGGGGGAUAACUCCUGGAAACGGUAGCUAAUACCGCAUACUAUCGGAUAACACCUAUGGGAUACGCUAGUAGGUGAGGUAAUAGCUCACCUAGGCGACGAUCCCUAGCUGGUCUGAUAGGAUGAUCAGCCACACUGGGACUGAGACACGGACCAGACUCCUACGGAGGCAGCAGUGGGGAAUAUUGAACAAUGGGCGCAAGCCUGAUGCAGCCAUGCCGCGUGUAUGAAGAAGGCCCUAGGGUUGUAAAGUACUUUCAGUCGGGAGGCGUUACCGACAGAAGAAGCACCGGCUAACUCCGUGCCAGCAGCCGCGGUAAUUC